rnacentral:rRNA from 1 species
CCUCCGGGCUUCUUCCUUCCUUCCUCUUUCUCCCUUUCCUAUACUCUUAACCAUCCAAUUAUCUUUAAUGAUGACUUCUCUAUUUUUUUUAAACUUCUUUUAUAAAGGAAUAAAACGAGGCACGUGGGCCUUUUUGCAUGUACUUUAUGAAUAAGGAUCGGCUAACUCCGUGCCAGCAGCCGCGGUAAUACGGAGGAUCCGAGCGUUAUCCGGAUUUAUUGGGUUUAAAGGGAGCGUAGAUGGGUUGUUAAGUCAGUUGUGAAAGUUUGCGGCUCAACCGUAAAAUUGCAAUUGAUACUGGCAGUCUUGAGUACAGGAGAGGUAGGCGGAAUUCGUGGUGUAGCGGUGAAAUGCUUAGAUAUCACGAAGAACCCCGAUUGCGAAGGCAACUUACUAGACUGUGACUGACAUUGAUGCUCGAAAGUGUGGGUAUCAAACAGGAUUAGAUACCCUGGUAGUC